AGUUGUGCAGUUAUAAGCUAGUUAUAAAUGUAUGCAUACCGUUGUUUACAUUUUUGUACUAUUAUGGUAAUCAUGGAAAUAAAAAUCAAAUUUUUAGAAAUAUUGUGCUUUUGUACUUAAAUGCUGAAGUUGCCCUCCUACAAGAUAACAUCACUGGGAGUGGCCCUAAGCUUAUUUGAGUUUGAGAUCACUGCUUUACAGUUAGGUGCUCAGAGAACAGCCACAGCUGUGGUUGAAUCUGUGAUUCUAUGAAUAAGCCUACAGUAGCUUUACUGUGGCCACUCUUUACUUCUCCCAUCAGUAUUAGCCAACAAAGUGCUUGCCACACAUGAUUUAACCCCCUGUGGCUCCAUGGCUUUUUGUAACAGAGACUCCACAAUACUGCUGUAAAUCAUUCAGCUAGGUUUACAUUUUAUACAGACUGAACUAAACAUCUUCUGUAUAAUAGCAUGCUGACAAAUAGCACAAGUAGUCCCAUCCUCCCUUCUCAUCCAAAAGGUUAAUUUUUAUGUAUUUGAAAGGCAAAAAAAAAAUAAAAAAUGAGAAAUACCCAUGUACAACUGCUUAACUGGACCACAGCUUUUUGCUGCUGUGCACUGCUACUGCCACCUGCUCUUGUCUGCUUUCCAGGCAAAGAGCCGAAAAUCAAGCUGUUCAACUGUGCUGCUCCUCGUCCUCACUGCUGCCCAACUCCAUGGAGGUCCCGCUGCCCAGUGCCUCAUCAGCGGUCGAGGCAGAAGCCUCUGCUGUUACUUUCCCUUACCCCUGCCCCUGGUCACCCUCCAGAUCCGCUCCACUCUUUGCCUCUGGGUCUCCCUGAGAUUCUGUGACAGGGUUGUUCCUGGAGCCAAUCCCAGCUGUCUCCGAGCAAGGGCAGGGUACACCCUGGACAAGUCGCCAGCUCAUCAGAGGGCACUCACUGAUGCCAGAGGCUGACAUGCAAGUUCACAACCGCACAUCAGGAGCAAUUUGGGGUUCAGUAUCUUGCUCAAGGACACAUCAACAUGCAUCUCAGCUCAGGUCGGAACUAUGAUUUGAACCAGCAACCUUCUGAUCACUAGCCGACCUGCUCUACCCGCUAAGCUACAGCCGCCAAAACCCAAACAAAUAAACUGAUAUUCAAAGUUACUGCAGUAAGAAAAUAAUUGGUGACCAAGCCUACGACAUAUUACAAGACAACUAUCUUAAUCCCCUUAAUCACCAUGCCGGAUAAAUGUAUCAGACCCACCUCUCCUUCUCUGGUAGACUGGACUUUCAUAGUCACUAUCAGAGAGUAACUCAGGUUCCUCCUGGGGGAAAAAACAUGUGUUCUUUGUGUUAUAAUCCAUCAAGUCAGUGACAAUGCAGAAUUAUUUGGCUGUAUAUAUAACUAUUUUUUUCAAACACAUGGAAAACUCAUAUAAAGCAGUAGAUAAACUAAUAUCACCAUAAUUAUGUAUACAUCUGCUUCUAGUACACUCAGUGUUGCCAAUUAAUGAAUCUGUGUAUUGUAAUAGAAAAUGUUAACCUGUGCAGGUUUGUGCAUUCCUGCCAUUAUAUAGAGACAGGUGGCUGAACUAAUUGAGCCAACCUCUUUACCACCCCACAGAACAUUGCUAGAGACAUUUGGAUUGUGUUAAUCCUUAUGGAUUUACGGCUCAAAUGUACAGCAGGCUUGAUUGUGUUCUGAGCUUAGUGGGUACAACUACUACUUUGUUCUCAUCUAAUCAAAUCAAAUUCGACUUUCUUUCAAGCUUUUUUUGCUUUCUUUCUGUAUAUGUAUUAAGAACAAAGCUGGUGUCAGGACAUGAUAUGUUUAAAAAAAACAGCUUGAGCACAUCACCCCUCUUAAAACAUGCUUUUGUUGGUGUGUUUCUGUGUACGUGUAAAAUGUAUCUGCAGAAUCCUACAUGUAAAGAUUCUGUUGCAUGUUUGUCUCAGCAGGUAUAGUGCUGAGGUUGAGUGGACCCCAUACUUCACUACCGUAGAGCGCAAUGGGCUGGAUGACACUAUCAAAUAUUUUAAGCCAGAUUUGACUGGAAUUUGGAAAUUAUACAGUUGUCUCUUAAUUGCAUGUAAGGCUCUUUGAGCUUUUUCUAUAAGUACAUUCGCUGCCAUGUUGAAACUCCCUGAUGCUGUGAUGGUUAUACCAAGGUAUGUAUAAGGUAGCUAUAUUCAAUGAUAUGAUUAUUUAUGGUAAAUUGGUGUUUGUUCUCCUGACAUCUGGAGCGUGUAUGAAAGAUCACAACAUUAGUUUUCUUCAUGUUUACUGCCAGGGCUCCGUUCUGACAGUACUUCUCACUAUGUCUAGCUGUUGCUGUAGUGCUUGUUCAGAAGGAGACAGUAGAACAAGGUCAUCAGCAUAAAACAGAGACUUUACCUCUCUGUCUAGGAGGGAGAGGCCAGGAGCAGCACAUUGAUCCAACGCAACAGCAAGUCUCAUUUAUUUGCGUUAAAUAAAGUCGGACUUGUAUUGCAGCCCUGGCAUACACCUCCCCUCUGGGUGAAGCAUUCGGUUUGUUUGUCUCCAAUUUUAACAGCACACAUAUUAUCCAAAUACACUGAUUUAACCAAAUCACACAUUUUGCCCCCUAUACCGCAGUGUAGGAGCCUGUAAUAGAACCCUUCAUGAUAAAUAAAGUCAAAAGCUUUCUAUAAAUCAAUGAAACAAGUGAAUAUUUUAUCAUUUUUUGUUUGGUGUACAUGUUUGUUGAUUAAAGUGUGAGGGGUAUAUACAUGGUCAUGGUGUCAUGUUUUGGGAGGUAGCCAAUUUGACUUUUACUCAAGAUGAGGAGAGUGUUCCUCAAGGAAAUCUAGUAUUCUUUUCUUUUGUAUACUACAGAAUAAUUUACCCAGACAGCUGCUGACACAGAUGCCAUGGUAGUUAUUAGCGUCUGAUUUGUCCCCACUCUUAUGAAUGGGGGAGAUGAGCCCUUUGCACCAGAUGUCAGGAAAACAUCCUGACUGUAGUACAGUAUUGAACAACUUCAACACUGCACCCUGCUUCUCUGGGGUGCUGCAUUUGAGCAUUUUGUUUUUAAUGCUGUCUGGACCACAAGCUUUUCUUGGCUGGUGUGGUCAGUUCUUCCCAAGUAAUUGGGAAAUCAAGCGGGUUUUGAUUGUCUUUAAUUGUUUCUUCUAAUGUUUGCAGGUUUCUUUUGUAUAAUACAUUGAUCUGAAUUGAUUUGAUUUACUGGUAUGUCUCCAGAUGUCACCAUUUUGGAUGGGUAAUGUCUGUUGCUUUGUAUUGAACUUGUUCCAUAUAUCCCAGAACUGAUUUUGAUUAAUAGCAUUCUCAAUAUCUUCAAGUGUUACGUGGGUAUAAUUUUGUUUUUUGUUCCUAAUUGUACAUUUAUACCUCUUUAAAAUGUCAUUAUAUCUAAUGCGUAAGGCUGGUUGGUGAUGUUUUUCAUUUGUUAUUUUUCUCAGGUCUUUUCUGAUGGUCUUGCAUUCUUGAUCAAACCAUUUGUCAACGUUUUGCCUUUUAACAGGCUUCCAUGUUUGUUUUAUGAGAUCAGCUUUUUAUCUAAUGGCAAAGAUCUCCUUUAUACCACACCAAGAUCCCUCCCGAUGUUCUGCCCUUGUGUAUGUUUUUUUUUUUUUUUUUAAUUUUACAGAGGGCACCAAGACUUCAUUAUAUCCUGGAGGACA